GAGUUUGAUCUUGGCUCAGGACGAACGCUGGCGGCGUGCCUAACACAUGCAAGUCGAGCGGAAAGGCUCCUUCGGGAGUACUCGAGCGGCGAACGGGUGAGUAACACGUGGGUAAUCUGCCCAGGACACAGGAAUGACCAGUGGAAACGCUGGCUAAUGCCUGAUGAAGUGCCGGCCCUGCGGGGCUUGGUACCAAAGGUAGCUUCGGCCUCCGGUCUUGGAUGAGCCCGCGGCCCAUUAGCUUGUUGGCGGGGUAACGGCCCACCAAGGCGACGAUGGGUAGCUGGUCUGAGAGGACGAUCAGCCACACUGGGACUGAGACACGGCCCAGACUCCUACGGGAGGCAGCAGUGGGGAAUCUUGCGCAAUGGGCGAAAGCCUGACGCAGCAACGCCGCGUGCGGGAAGAAGGCCUCGGUUGUAACCGACG
rnacentral:rRNA from 1 species